GACGAACGCUGGCGGCGUGCUUAACACAUGCAAGUCGAGCGGAGCGGCGAACGGGUGAGUAACGCGUGAGUAACUGCCCCCCUCUCUGGGAUCACAGUUGGCAACGGCUGCUAAUACCGGAUAGUGGGGGCUGUCUCGAGUCCUAUCAGCUUGUUGGUGGGGUAUUGGCCUACCAAGGCGACGACGGGCAGCCGGCCUGAGAGGGCGACCGGCCACAUUGGGCUGGGAUAGGGACCAAACUCCUACGGGAGGCAGCAGUGGGGAAUAUUGCGCAAUGGGGGAACACCUGAUGCAGCAACGCCGCGUGAGGGAAGAAGGCCUUCGGGUUGUAAACCGCUUUCAGCCAUGACGCGGUAGUGGCAGAAGAAGCACCGGAUAACUACGUGCCAGCAGCCGCGGUAAUUC
rnacentral:rRNA from 1 species